GUUUGAUCAUGGCUCAGAAUCAACGCUGGCGGCGUGCCUCAGACAUCCAAGUCGAACGAUUAAGACUUCCUUCGGGAAGUGCAUAAAGUGGCGCACGGGUGAGUAACACGUAAGUAAUCUACCCUCGAGUGGGGAAUAACGUUCGGAAACGGACGCUAAUACCGCAUAACGCAGCGGCACCGCAAGGUGACAGUUGUUAAAGGAGCAAUCCGCUUGAGGAGGAGCUUGCGGCAGAUUAGCUAGUUGGUAGGGUAAUGGCUUACCAAGGCUACGAUCUGUAUCCGGUCUAAGAGGACGGUCGGACACACUGACACUGAAUAACGGGUCAGACUCCUACGGGAGGCAGCAGUCGGGAAUUUUGGGCAAUGGGCGAAAGCCUGACCCAGCAACGCCGCGUGAAGGAUGAAGUAUUUCGGUAUGUAAACUUCGAAAGAAUAGGAAGAAUAAAUGACGGUACUAUUUAUAAGCUCCGGCUAACUACGUG
rnacentral:rRNA from 1 species